rnacentral:rRNA from 1 species
CCAAUACAUGCAAGUCGAGCGAACAGAUAAGGAGCUUGCUCCUUUGACGUUAGCGGCGGACGGGUGAGUAACACGUGGGUAACCUACCUAUAAGACUGGGAUAACUUCGGGAAACCGGAGCUAAUACCGGAUAACAUUUGGAACCGCAUGGUUCUAAAGUGAAAGAUGGUUUUGCUAUCACUUAUAGAUGGACCCGCGCCGUAUUAGCUAGUUGGUAAGGUAACGGCUUACCAAGGCAACGAUACGUAGCCGACCUGAGAGGGUGAUCGGCCACACUGGAACUGAGACACGGUCCAGACUCCUACGGGAGGCAGCAGUAGGGAAUCUUCCGCAAUGGGCGAAAGCCUGACGGAGCAACGCCGCGUGAGUGAUGAAGGGUUUCGGCUCGUAAAACUCUGUUAUUAGGGAAGAACAAAUGUGUAAGUAACUGUGCACAUCUUGACGGUACCUAAUCAGAAAGCCACGGCUAACUACGUGCCAGCAGCCGCGGUAAUACGUAGGUGGCAAGCGUUAUCCGGAAUUAUUGGGCGUAAAGCGCGCGUAGGCGGUUUCUUAAGUCUGAUGUGAAAGCCCACGGCUCAACCGUGGAGGGUCAUUGGAAACUGGGAAACUUGAGUGCAGAAGAGGAAAGUGGAAUUCCAUGUGUAGCGGUGAAAUGCGCAGAGAUAUGGAGGAACACCAGUGGCGAAGGCGACUUUCUGGUCUGUAACUGACGCUGAUGUGCGAAAGCGUGGGGAUCAAACAGGAUUAGAUACCCUGGUAGUCCACGCCGUAAACGAUGAGUGCUAAGUGUUAGGGGGUUUCCGCCCCUUAGUGCUGCAGCUAACGCAUUAAGCACUCCGCCUGGGGAGUACGACCGCAAGGUUGAAACUCAAAGGAAUUGACGGGGACCCGCACAAGCGGUGGAGCAUGUGGUUUAAUUCGAAGCAACGCGAAGAACCUUACCAAAUCUUGACAUCCUUUGAAAACUCUAGAGAUAGAGCCUUCCCCUUCGGGGGACAAAGUGACAGGUGGUGCAUGGUUGUCGUCAGCUCGUGUCGUGAGAUGUUGGGUUAAGUCCCGCAACGAGCGCAACCCUUAAGCUUAGUUGCCAUCAUUAAGUUGGGCACUCUAGGUUGACUGCCGGUGACAACCGGAGGAAGGUGGGGAUGACGUCAAAUCAUCAUGCCCCUUAUGAUUUGGGCUACACACGUGCUACAAUGGACAAUACAAAGGGCAGCUAAACCGCGAGGUCAUGCAAAUCCCAUAAAGUUGUUCUCAGUUCGGAUUGUAGUCUGCAACUCGACUACAUGAAGCUGGAAUCGCUAGUAAUCGUAGAUCAGCAUGCUACGGUGAAUACGUUCCCGGGUCUUGUACACACCGCCCGUCACACCACGAGAGUUUGUAACACCCGAAGCCGGUGGAGUAACCAUUUAUGGAGCUAGCCGUUAGAAGGGGAC